rnacentral:lncRNA from 1 species
AGUAUAUCCAACCUCAAAUGGCCACCUUAUAUAAACUGUAAGACUUCCAGUGGAGGGAUGUGGACACCAAUCCACAAAUUUCUGCCUGAAAGAUGAUGUACGGAUAAAGAUGGAACAGGAACCGAGUUAAUGGGUAAACAGCGACUGGCCUAACUUGUGACCAAUGAAAAGAGUUCACAGGCUUGUCCAUGAUGUCCACAAGAAAGGAGCUCAGGAAUCCUGAGGAACAGGAGGAAGAGGGCUUGUUGGGCCAGAGGAGAUGGAGGACACCAGAACAAAAGGGCCUUCUGAAUCUACUAAAGAAGACACAGUUGAGCUCACAGACUCCAAGACAGAAAGACUCAUGUGGGUCCUCAGUAGGUAGAAAGAGAAACGUCCGAAUCCUGACAGAAAUCUGAAUAUGAGCCUUCCUAAUGGCAUACCAUACACUCUUUCAGUUUUGUGUAUAUGGUAAAUAUAAUCUGGUGAGGAACAGUUAUAAGAAUGAAAUAUAUUGCUGAGGGUGGUACUGAAGUCCUGUAGUACUAUAAACCACAGACUCAGAGACCUAAGGAAAAUAGAUCUCAAGUUCA